GAGUUUGAUCGUGGCUCAGAUUGAACGCUGGCGGCAUGCCUUACACAUGCAAGUCGAACGGCAGCAUGAUCUAGCUUGCUAGAUUGAUGGCGAGUGGCGAACGGGUGAGUAAUACAUCGGAACGUGCCCUGUAGUGGGGAUAACUAGUCGAAAGAUUAGCUAAUACCGCAUACGACCUGAGGGUGAAAGUGGGGGACCGCAAGGCCUCAUGCUAUAGGAGCGGCCGAUGUCUGAUUAGCUAGUUGGUGGGUAAAGGCCCACCAAGGCGACGAUCAGUAGCUGGUCUGAGAGGACGAUCAGCCACACUGGGACUGAGACACGGCCCAGACUCCUACGGGAGGCAGCAGUGGGGAAUUUUGGACAAUGGGCGAAAGCCUGAUCCAGCAAUGCCGCGUGUGUGAAGAAAGGCCU
rnacentral:rRNA from 1 species